rnacentral:rRNA from 1 species
CCUACGGGGGGCAGCAGUGGGGGAUAUUGCACAAUGGGGGGAACCCUGAUGCAGCGACGCCGCGUGGGUGAAGGAGCGUUUCGGCGCGUAAAGCCCUAUCGGCAGGGAAGAAGUUGACGGUACCUGGCCAAGAAGCCCCGGCUCACUCCGUGCCAGCAGCCGCGGUAAUACGUAGGGGGCAAGCGGUAUCCGGAUUUACUGGGUGUAAAGGGGGCGCAGACGGCAAUGCAAGCCACGAGUGCAAUCCCGGGGCCCAACCCCGGGACUGCUGUUGGAACUGCCGGGCUGGAGUGCAGGAGGGGCAGGCGGAAUUCCUGGUGUAGCGGUGAAAUGCGGAGAUAUUAGGAGGAACACCGGUGGCGAAGGCGGCCUGCUGGACUGUGACUGACGUUGAGGCCCGAAGGCGUGGGGAGCAAACAGGAUUAGAUACCCGAGUAGUC